CGGCCGGCCACAAAGGGCUCCUGUGGAAGGGGCUGGAAGGAAUGCGGCCCGAGGAGUCGGGCGCGGGGCGGGGCGGGGCCGGCGCCGCCUCUUACCUGGCCAGGUGGCUCGCAUUUCCCGGGAGUGCGGGCGGGCGGGUGGCACGGGGACAUGGCCGGAUAGAGUGGAGGCCCGGCGGCCGGCGGCAGCAUGAAGAAGAGCCCGGCGGUGCAGGGCACCCUCAGCAAGCUCUUCGGGAAGAAGCACGCCAGCCCCACCUCCACGUCUCUCUAUGCCACCAACCCGCCCUGGAUCUUCACCCAGGAGGCCCCCGACGAGGGGACCCGGCACUUCGAUGGGAUCUGUUACGGGGAUGCUCGACUGGACACGGUCAGCGAGUCAGGAACGGCCACACUGAAGGCCCGGCCCCGUGUGCGGCCCCUGCUGACGUUCCUCCCACUGAACACCCAGGAGAAUCAUGGGCUGGCUGUGCCAACCCCCUCUGUCCCUGAAGAUUUUGCAGGCAAAGAUGUGACAGGUGGCAACUCACUGGUCAAUGGCAGCCUCCGGCUCUACAGCUCUGUGGGGGACCUGAGGCCCCAGCACUAUGGCCUCGACCCACUCAUCCCCCCACCUCCCCCAGGCCCAGCCCCGGGGCCACCCCAGGACUUUCCACAGGCCCCAGGGGAGUCUCUGCCACCACCGCCCCCUUCCACAGCUCCCCCGCCUCCCCCUCUGCUGCUGGAACCACCCCCGCCCCCCACCCUGGAGAUCCUCUCCCCACCCACCACACCCGGCCUGCCCGACUUCAUCCCGCCUGCCCCUCCCUUGGUGUCUCUGGCCCCUCUGCCACCCACCGUGCCAGCUCCACCACCCCUGGCCCCUGCGGCCCAUACAGAGGGGACCCGCCUCUUUCCCUCUGGGGGGGUCACCAAGUGGACCUCAGAUGUGGCCCUGAAUGGCAGGCAGCCAGAGACCCCCAGCACCAGCCCCCCCAGGAGCCCCGCCCAGCCAAAGGGCCCACACCCUGAGACCAACCUCACUGCCCCCCGUUUGUCCAAGGUGCCCCCCCCAGCCCCAGUCCGGACCUCAUCUAUCUCAGUUCAGGAAGCCCAAGGGGGUCCCCCAGAGGAAGAGGGUACCAUCAAGAAGACCCCCAGCCACCUCCUAGUGCCCCCCAGCUUCCACAUCCGCCCUGCGUCCCAGGUGUACCCCAACAGGGCCGCUGAGCCAGGCCACCCUCGGGAGCCCAAGGCUGAGGCUCCACCCAGCCCAGGGCUCAGCCAGGCAGAGCCCCCCACAAAUGAACCAGCUGGGCCUCCACCCCCUGCCCGUCCUCCACCCCCUCCUGCACCCCCACUUCCCCCUCCACAGCCUUCUGUUGUACAGGCUGCCCCUCCAGCUGCUGCAUUCCCAAAGCACCCCAAAUCCAGCUUGCCCACUCUCAAACCCACACCCAAGUGCAAACCCAAACUCCCCACACCGGCGCCUGAGGCCUCCUCAGAGCCAGCAGACUGGCGCGACCCCAGCCAGUUGGAGCAGCUGCGGAGCCAGCUGGCAGCCUAUCUGUGUGGCCCCAGGAAGGAGGACAGAGCCCUCCGUCACAGGCCGGGCCCCACGGUGGCUGCUCAGGACAAGGAGGGCAAGAAGGGCCCAAGUCCCCCAGCAGAGGCAGUGCCCCGGAUCCUGCCUGAGAAGAUGCCCCCGGGGGUCCCCGAGAAGGGUCCCACCCUGGCCCUCCCCCCGGUGGACUACGACCCCCAGGACACCCCAGCCCGCAGUGUCCAGCAGAUCCGGAAGGAGCUGGAGGCCCGGCUGUCUGCAUCCGCAGAGAAGGACGCCAGGCCCAGUGUGGGGUCACUGCCCCCCAAACCCCGGCCAGGAGGGGGACUAAGCUUGGCAAACGGGACAGAUAAUGGCAAAUUCCCCAAGCCUGUGGCCAAGGAUCCACUGCCUCUGUCUACCACACUUCAGCUGCGGACCCCGGCCACCCCUGGGCUGGCCACAUCAUCCUCGGCCACCAUGAUGCCCGCCACGCCACCCUACUUGACGGCAGAGAAGGAGCGGGUCCCAGCUGAGCGACGUGGGCAGCGAGAGCAGCCAGAACCUCAGGAAGGCGAAGCGCCCCCGACAGAGCCCGCCAGACUGCUCACAUCCAAGGCAACCCUGGGCCGGGGAGAGGUGCAGCUCUUCUACAAGCCCCAUAGCCACCAGAGCAGCCCCAGCCUCAAUGAGGCCACAGAGCUGCCCAUGGUGGCCAGAGGGACAGCCAUGGGUCUGGGGGGUCCUGUGGAGCUGCAGGGGCCCCAAGCCUGGCCAGCCGCACCCCUGCCCCCAUCCCCAUCCCCGCCUGCUGACCAACUGCUUCGGCACCCCGUGACCGGGGAGGUGGUGGAGCGCGGGUCCCCUAUGGCCCUGCUCCUGGCAGCCCGGAAGCGGGCUCAGAAGGGGAGGCCUGGAGGGCUUGCCCAAGGGCGGUCCUUGCCUGGAAGCAUUCGAGGCUGUGGCGGCCUGCCGGAGCCCAAGUCUGACAGCGUCUUCCCCACGGACGGCAAGCCCAGCUCCUUCACCGUGGUCCCCAAGUCACCCAAGGAGGUGGAGAAGGUCACCCUGCUGCCCAGCGAGCAGAAGUCCCCAGAGGGCGCAGAGCCGCCCUCGCGGCCUUGGUGGACCACGAUGCAGCGCCCUGCACCCGGGGGGACCUGGGACAGGCCCAUCCCCUCCAGCCUCCCGCAGGACCCCUUGCUCCCCAGGUCCCUGUCGUCGCCACCCUCACCUUUCUGCAGGCGGCGGGAGGCUGAGGCUGAGGCUGAGGCUGAGGAGUUCACUUUUGAGGUCAUUCCGCCGCCGCCCGAGUUCAGCAACAACCCUGCUCCCUCGGUUCUCAAGGACCUGGGGCGGCCGCCUGGCCUGGCCUUCCCACAUGUCCUGGAGCGUGGCUGCCCCGGGGGCCGAUCGCUCAUCAAGAAGCGGCUGUACAUUGGGGGGGAGCCACCCCACGCCCCUGGACCUGGCCGCAGCCAGGGCACCCCCAACGGCCCGACGCCUCGCCGCCUCCCCUCCGCCGGAUGCCCACACCCUGCCGCAGUCCACGGGCGGCGGAUGUCACUGGAGGGCACUGUGGCACGAGGCAUGGGUGAUGCCAAGUACAGGGUGCCUGGGGACUUGGCGGGGGAGCACUGCCUCGAGCCUGCCACGGGCAGGUCACACAUCAACACCUUCACUGUGAGGCCCGGGACGCGCCAUCCCAUCUCCUAUGCCUACUCCCGAGCCCACCGGAAAGCCAUGUCCUGAGCCCGUGGCUCUCAGCUCUGCUCCGAGGGGUUGGGGCUGGGAAUUUGUCCUGGUGGGGGGUGGGAGGGUUGAAGCAGGUGUCAGCCUGAUCCAGACACAGAAGAGUCUUCGUUCUCCGAAGACAUGACGAGGAGCACAAGGAAGCCUGAGAAGGGAUCCGGGCUCUGUUUUCCAAAGCCACGGUGUGGUGUGGCUGGGGCCCUGCAGAAGGGGCUGGGGAGGGUGAGGAGGAAGAAGAGCGGGAGUCCUGCGCGCCCUGAGCCUCUGCUGUUUGCUGGCGGUUGCUUUAGUGAGAUUCACUGAGAGCAGCUGUGCAAGCCCAGACUGCUGAGCAGGUUCUAAGUGUUGCUGAAACCCGAGGGGCACUGGGCGUUGUGGGGUGGGUUCCUGUCCACGUGGCCCUGCCCUUAGCUCCACGGAGGCCCAGGCAGAGAGACUUGGUGAGCAGGGACAGGAGACCGAGGAUGAAGGCUGCUUCCUGUGCAGACCAAGCAGCCCUCAGGAUUGGGGCCUGAAAACAGCCCCUGCGUGCCCAGGUCUCGUGUGAGGGUUCCCGAACCCACUGUGACUUACGCAGGCCCAAAUGCUGGCGGGCCUUGGAAAGUGGAAGAUGGGAACACAGGUCCCAGAGAAGGUCACUGCUGGUGGGGCAGGUGUUUCAGGAAGCUGGGAGUACCAGGACUGGCCAGUUCAGAGCAGGGGUGACCAUUUGUCUUUUACCCGGGCAGUCCACGCUUAUGCCUGUUUUCCAAUGAAUCAGAACCCCGUAUUAAGUCCUGCUUGGCAUAAGAGCAUUGUAUUCACUCUCAGUUUUGUCUCCAGGUUGGGGCCGGGGAGUCAGGAGGAAGGCAGGGGGUGGCCCUUAAUUGGGGCAGCCUAGAAGCAGCUUCCCUUGGGAGCAAGAUACCGGAUCAUUAGCCAAGGGCCUAGGCUUCAGGGACAGAUACCAGAGCCACUUCCAGGAAAGACAGUGUAGGGUGGGUUAGGAGCAGGGUGGCCCUGGCCAGCCAUCCCGAGGGGACAGGGUCUGGGUCCCUGUGUUCAGGAUGCAGCUCUGCUCAACACCAGCCCUGGCUCUAGAAAUACUCGUGUUUCCGGUGCCGUGUUUUAGAACAGAGAUCACUAGGGCUGGGGAUUUAGCUCAGUGGUUCUGCCACCUUCCCCGCAAGUGCAAGGUCCUGAGUUCAAUCCCUGGUACCAAAAAAGAAAAGAAAAGAGAUCGCUAAUUCAUCUGCAGUGCUGAGGCUUGAGGAAGGGGUGUGACAUGGGCUCUGCGUUGCUCUGGGGUGGGUGGAGAAGGGCUUGGUCUCACUUGGCUUGGGAAAUAAACGAGCCAGUUGGGACUGGCCUUCAGCUCUGCGGCUGCAAGUGAUGAUUCGGAGUUCCUGGGUGUGGGAGACUUGGGCAGCUCUGCUGGGAAUGCCGAGCACAGGACGUUUGACCGCCCUGGUGUCUGACCUCGUUUUCCUCUUCUCCAAAUCCCUCCGGGGAAUGAGCAGAACCGAGGGCUGGUGAUAAUAAACAGUGUCCUUCUGCAAGACUCUUGGACUCUUCUGGACACGACAGCAGUGUUUACCUCCGCAGGCUCUGUGAAGAUCGGAGAUGGCCACACACUCAUGUAGCAAGGGUUUAUGGGGCUGCUGGGUGCCAGGCACUGUGCUUGGCAUGGGCAUACAGCCAUCCACACACGGUUCCUGGCUCCUGGCUUGGCAACAGCGGAGGUAAAAGAGAAUAAAAAGUGCCCAGAAACAUGGAGAGUUAAGCUGGUGCAUACCUGUGAUACCCGAGCCGAGCCCUUGUCACUGGGGAGGAAAUGCAGCCCCUGGAGGGCGCUGAGGUCCAGCAGAAGAACCCCAUGCUGCCCUGCGCCCCUUUGCCCUGUCCUGAUUAUACUGGCCCAGACUUCUGGCGGGGAGAGUGAGGACUCGAGU
rnacentral:lncRNA from 1 species